UCUCUCUCCUUCUUAAUUAUGCACGCACGCACGCACGCAGCACCCACACCUGCACCGAAAGAGAGAAAGAGAUCCAAUUGUGGAUUAACGAAACGUCACUGCUCGCGCACGUGAGUACACGUCGAAGUUAGACGAACGUCACCGAUGGCACAGCGAUGCUGCGCAAUGUUACUAUUUGACGAACAAAAAAUAAUAACGACGUUAAGGAUGUUAAAUAUCCACACGAAUUGCGCACACUUGAGGCUCAUUUAUCUCUAACAAGUCACGAUUUCAUAUCAACCAUCUGUCGGCAAGCAGGUCUUUCCUCCUCGAAAAGUUUCCUUCCUUUAGCGAAAGGAAAAAUGGGAUAAAAUUCGAAGAAGGGAUAUCAGAGUGAUCAAGAAAAUCGGAGGGAGAGAGAGAGAGAGAGAGAGAGAGAGAGAGAGAAGAAAGGAGAAAAAAUAGAGCGCGCGCGCGCGUUCCCUAGAAAGAGAGAGAGGGAUGAAAGAGAUGACAGAGGGGAUAAAGGGGGUUAGAGGGGAGGGAGAGAUCUAGAUAUGCCUGCCGGCUUAAGCUUGUCAAAGAAACAUUUGAUGGUGCUCCUCUUGGAGAGCAGUGGUGGUUGCGGCGGCGGUGGCGGUGGCGGUGACGGUAGCUGUAGCAACGAUAAUAAUUCCUCGUAAUUCUCUUGUCUAUUCCUAUUCGUUUUUUCUUUCUUUUUAGGGAUAGAGACGAUACGAUCCCACGUCACGUACGAGUGGCAAAGUGCGAACAACGAAGCGGCGGAAGUAACAGUGAGCAAGAUGGAAAGACACGCGUCUCGAAGCUGCCGCGAGUGACUAAGCUCGUCCAAGUCGAGCGAGUCAUGCAGUAGGAAGUAUCGCCUACUUGCUUGCCGCCAGAUUCUAUCCCCACUUUGGUAUCGUCGAUAUCGCCAACGUUCUACUCGGAGAGAUGGAAAGCGAGCGCCCUGAUCCACCACUGGUGUGCGCCGUCGAUGCGCGCGCGCCUGAUGCGCACCGUUCAUCUGCGCUAACUUGUCCCACUGCUCUCCAAUUCUCCUUCAAAGAUACUGACCACUUGUUUGGAUCGACGUGUUCCCGAUGAAUAGAGCCACCCUUUCCAUCCCUCCUCGGAUUCGCACCCCAUCGUGACGAAACAUUUCAUUUUCAUUUCGACCAAUUAAAGUGCUAAUGAAGAAUCUUUCCCUAAUACUAAUCAAAAAACUUAUGAUUGGAAUGAAACGAAAAAAUUGAUACAAGAGAGAGAGAGAGAGAGAGAGAGAGAGAGAGAGAGAGAAAACUAUCAAACGGCCUAGUCUUUGCUUAUCCGAAAAAUAUGAUACAAGGGAAAAUCUACUGGGAGAUGGCAGCACCAUCUACGAGGAGGAGGAGGAGGAGGAGGAUUUCAUUUUACAUUAAAUGAUCCUGAUAAAAUUGCAUCUAAAAUGCAUUUUAAUUGCGUCUGCGACGAUCGUCUUAUUGAUUUCGCAUAUUUCAUAUUUUACUGAUUAUUUUGAAUUUUGAAAAACAGGACAGCGCGCGCGCGCGUUUAUCUAUUUACCGUCCAAAGUCGAACGUGAUGAAAUUCCCGCGGCACUCAUUGGAGAAGGAGCUUCGCCAAUGAGGCGCCGACGUUAAGCGUCUUCUCUCGCGAAGAGAAAUAAUCGAAGUGCAGCCUACGAUAAACGGGUAGGGAACUCCGACGAGAGACUAUGGAAGGGGAUUCGCUGACUUCCUCGUAGCUUCCUCGUAAUUGUUAUCGCGAUUGUUGCCACCGAGUUAAACCUAACCGAUCGUUGACACACUCGAGGAGAAUGAAACUGCGCGUGGUCAAACCGCUUUUCGAAGUGUCCAAAGACCAAAGUCGCUUGUAUUUGUUGACUGCCUGCACCAAGUGCCAAGUCCGCCCGCGUUUGAUAGAUUGUUCCAACCCUGACGCAAAUCUGACAAAAUUCACAAACUUUAGGAUGCGUUCGAAACAUAUAUUACAAAAAUAAAAAGUAAGUAACAUAAGAACAAUAUUGUUUGGUGAAAAAAAAAGCGCGCCAAACAUCAUGACCAGCACCAUCAGUCACAAGCACCAUAGGAAUUGGUGCUACUCAUAAGCCAAGCAGGCAGGCAGGCAGGCAGGCAGGAAGGCAAGCAGGCAGGAAGGCAAGCAGGCAGGCAGGCAGGCAGGCAGGCAGGCAGGGCAGGAUAUAACAGGAUAAUGUCUGCAAUAUAAAAAUUCAAAUAUGCUCUCAGCGUAAGGCUGAGUCGAUGCAACUGUCAUGAGGAGUUAGUCGUAUCUAUCUUUUGUAAGAUUAACAACGAUUCAGAAUGUAAUUUGUAAACUGAUGGGUCUGUCGCACCUUUUACUUCUAAGUAAAGGGAACUAGAAGAAGAGAGAGAAGAAUCGAAGGCGUACAAUGUUCUUAUCGAAAGCACUGGAAUGAAGGAGGACGAGCGAGCGCUCAAAGAAGAAAGAAAAGGGUAGGAGGACAAUCGACGAUAUGCGCCAGGGUUUGCUGUUGUGUUUGCUGUUGUGUUUGCCCAACAGCUCCACUCGUCAUCCCGGAUGUACAACAUCUUUAUAUGCUAUUCUUCGAUGCAGUUACCUACCAACGCGAUUCUUCUCUUUUUCACCUAUUAACGAGUCUUCUUGAACUAUACCUAACUGCAUAUAGAGACAUGUAUGUACCCGUAUCGCGAAUACAACAGAAAUCAUAUAGUAUAACGUAUUACAAUAAAUAUUCGACCAAUUGAAAAAUAAACAAAAAGACAAAUAUCUAUCUAAUCUAAUUAGACGAUUAUUUAAUAAAUAAUAGAAUCGUUUGGUUAUUCAACUGAAAAUCCGACCGAACAAGUAUUCGUUGGUUCGUUUGGAGAAAGUGUCUCUUGUACCGAUGCCUUAAGGCGCAUUUCACAUGCGCUUUAAGAGCUCCGACUCGCCGCGAGCCGUCUGUGUGUGUGUGUGUGUGUGUUAACGCACGCUCGGCUUAUGUAAUCGGUUACGGUAAUAGCGUGGUAGUUAUAGCAAUCCGGGAGCAACCAACGGGUAACACAAUUCCUUGUUAAUACGCUAACGAAUACACUAACUCUUACAUUGUAUGCUUGAUAUUGCCAAUUUUCAUUGGAGAUUCCUCUUUUAAGCAUAAUAACUAAUAAAAAAUAAGAUUUUUAAGGUGACCGAGCGUUUCAUACAUUCUUAGACUCGUCGAAAUUGCGAUCGUUUUCUUGUUUUCCAAUGCAACAUGAAUUAAUUGUAAUUGUAAUUUUAAUAAUGCGUUAACGUUCGAACACGUAGUAAACUCUGGAAGUGAGCGGCAGACGCUUACAGCAAUGGCGACUUCAUGAUUUGACCCGUCGAGCCGACGAACCGGUUAUCAAUGCUCGGAAGCGUGUCGUUCGGCUCGAUUACGAUACGUCCUCCUCGAUGUAGGUGAGUACAGGAGCGUAUCGUGGCGUACCUUCCCUACUCAAUGCUACGCUAUUUUUUAUUGAAAUUCUGUCUUUUUAGUUUAUUUUAAGGAAAGACCAAUCCUGAAAACGAAUUGCUUUAACCUUCGAACCAAGUUUUUCGUAUUAAUUUGAAAAACGUGUAGGUAGGAAUUGCAUAAGUCUGGCUGGGUACGUACGCGAGCACUCGCUAAAGGCAAAGGCAAAGGCAAAGGCAAAGGCAAAGGCAAAGGCAAAGAGAAUCGGAUAGGAAGACGAACGAGCGGAACUGAGGUCCGUGGAGCUUCCUUUCCUUUCGACAUGCCUGGCUGCCUUCUCAUCCUCUCCCACAGAUUACAACCAACUUUUCUCUCUCUCUCUCUCUCUCUCUCUUGCGUGCGCGCGAGCGUCCAGGAGUACCUUCACUUGCUUGCACGAACAGCACACGUUCAAGCACAGGUUCUAACAUACACGCUCACCUUCUUACUCUCCCUCUCUUGCUUACCGAUGUGUAAGCACUACCACGUUAACAACGAGCAACGAGCCGCUGCUAAUACUACUAAGAACAACAGUAAUGGUCGUAAGACUAUUCGAAUCGGAGCAGGUCUGAAAAAGAAGGAACUACGUUGGACGCACCUACUUCCGGGAUGCGUCUUACCUCGGCGCACCUUCACCAACGAGUGAUGAUACGUUCUCUUAAUGAUCUUUACAUCUCAUAUAUUAAAACAUGUUUUAUUAAAUUUAUCGAAAUCUUAUUUUCUCACGAAUUAGACAAAUCUUCAUUUGUCGUACCUUAUUAAGAACGCAACGACAGAUCAUUCUUUGCGAGUAAAACGUUAGCGCGCUUAUAAUGGAGGAAGCCAUUACCUCAUUCCGCAUCCUUAAGUUCCUAUCGAACCGCUCUACCGACUCGACCGACGAUCGAACCACUUUACUUUCUAUCUAACGUUCGAACUUUAGCAAAAGAAGAGGAUUAAACGCAGGAUACGUCAUUGGAAAGAUUCUAGCUCGAUUGCUCAUGACAAAGGUAUUCAUAAAUUCCUCCUUCUAACGAACAAAUCAGACUACAUCGAAUAUCUUUGCGACCUCGAGAAAAUGCUCGUGGCACGAUAACCACUAACGCCGCCGAGUUCGAAUAACAUUAAAAUCAUUGUGACCUUAUCUCCAAGCCUGCGUACUUUCACCUACUCGAAGUACGGCUCUAUGUUCAAAUAUAUGUAUAAUAGUUUAGCGCGCUAUCCAUACGAUGCUUCAAAUUGAUGCAUAUAUUGUAUAUUGUAAUGAUAAUUAACAAGUUGAAUCACAUGAAAAGAUCCUUUCUCUCAUGCGAAAAGAAGAAGUAGGAGAAGAAGAAGAAGCAGCAGCAGCAGCAGCAGCAGCAGCAAGAAUUAGAGUUACUUGAAAUUAUGUAAUCGCUUUCUUCAUGUAAAUGCUUCUUACGAGCGCAAUCUUUUUGCCUGAUCAGUCCCUUUUAAUGAAAACCCUUAGAGUUUUACGAAAAGCAUGAAAUUUUAACAAAAAAUUCCAGGCGAUCUGCAAAUGUAUGAAAUUCCAUACGUUCACCGAUUUUCUCUUGUCACGACAACAUAAGGUGCGCAUAAGGUGAAGGUAUCGAUUGCGCAACAUCUAUAUUAUGCAACGAAGGCGGCUUCCUGCUGUUAUCCAAUCGUCCGGAGCACAGGAACUCGAUAUAGUUGCACAGUCGCUAUUUUCAUAACUUUUCUUUUUCUUAGCUUCGUCAAAGUGUUCGGAUAAAUCAAAUUAUCCACGUAAUAACGAACAGGUUUUUCAUUUAUCCAAAUAUCUAUAGUAUAUGGAAUAAGCAUUUUGCGAGUAUUUGCAUUUGCAUUUAGAGAAUUAUUUUGGAAGCCGUAGCGCGCAUCUGACAUUUGGAACCGUUGCGAAAGCGACUGUGGGAAGUUCUACGCGAAGCUGAUAUUUACGCGCGAAGAAAGUAAAGGCACCAGAGCCAUGAUGUUUCGAGUUCGAUCGAUUCUCGCUUAUGUCGCAAACAAGAUUCUCCAUCUCCUCCAUUGGGCUAUACCUGCGUAUACCAAUGUCGAAUCCAAUACUGGACACGCAAUCAUGCACGUAUAGAUAUAGUUCGAAAGAAGAUAGGAGGAACCCACGCCUUAUACUCACCCCCUGUGUUCGCUUCUCUACAAUUCCCCUUCUUACGUCUGCCCUUACGACGGCCCUUACGUCGAAAUCUGGCCACACCUCGAGAAUACUCUUCCGAGUAUUAGUCACUUCUAGCACAGCUGGGUUACGUCCCCGGAGUUUUUGCUGGUUCUUCCCUUCUCCAUUUUCAAGACUGAAUCAAUCUCGGUUUAUCCUAGAGAAUAGCGGCAAAUUUUUUCAUGAUUUUUCCAAGAUGCGUAUUGCUUAUCACACAAUUAUUCACAAUAUAUUGUAAUAUAAAAACGUAACGUGAAUGAAGAUUCGUUUGCUUUGCUUUUUAUCCUUGCGCUUUCCUAAUCGAUAGCGCGUGCAAUGCGUAUCUAGGUUGCUCUUGUGAAAAUGGGAAUAUAGCGAAGGGAGCUGAUUUAGGAGAGAGAGAGAGAGAGAGAGAGAGAGAGAGAGAGAGAGAGGGCUGAAUUUGUUUGUCGAACCGGGCUUCUCUGCUAAUGCCCUAGUUAGUACUUUGGUUUCUUUUGUGCCACCCUCCGGCUACCACGUCCCCCAAAUCCGUGGAUUUGAACCCUCGCAGGAACGGGAAAUGCACCCUUCCGCUAUUCUACUACGGCUAUUCUACGUUGUAGAAUGCAAUUUUCAUUUUGCACGCAGUUCAAACGCAUCGCCGACCUUUAUAACGUUUUUGCUCGUCUCUCUCUCUCUCUCUCUGUUUAAUAAAUCUAUUUUAUAUUUUUUUUUUUUAAAUAUAAUAAAGUAUAAGAAGACUUAGGAAUUUCUUUAGUUUCUUCCUACUAUCAUAAGUGAGUUGUUUAGUUUUUUGAUCUGUCGAAUUGGAAUACGUAGACCUUGUAUCAUAUUCGUCAACGAAUAUAAGGGAAGCCCUUCUCACCGAUGUUUCGUAUUUUGAAAGCAAGCCACUCUAAAUGAUGAGAUUUUCGAUGGCAUCCGUCGCGCGGCCAUCCGACCCUUCGGUCGCGUUUGUUGAAAGAAACCGGAGCGCAUUAAAGUAUUGCUGGAGCGCUUUCGCUUUUGGCUUUGCUUUUGCUUUUGCUUUUGCUUUUGCUUUUGCUUUUGCCUUUAUGGCCGCCUGGAACAAUGACGAAUCCCCGACGUCAUUGUGGUUGCCCCUGCAGCUCCGAUGAAAAUACAGGAAAGGGAAAAAUAUAAAAGAAAGCGCGAAAGGCGAAUGUAGGAAAAAAGAAAAUGGAAAACAAAAAGAAAAAAAGAGCAAGGUGUGCAUCAGGCAACAGUCACUCGCUCCUGAUUACACGGACCAUUGUGCAAUAACAACAAAAUCGGUAUACGAGAGGAUGAGUGUAAAAUAAUGCCUAUGACUGGGGUAAGAACUAAGGGUAAGACCUAAGGGUAAGACACAGGCUACAACGGUAUAGCGCAAAAAAAAUAAGUAACAUUUUUUCAAUUAAUGAAACAUAAAGCAAGAUAUAACUUUUCCAUAAUGACCAUCAGCAAUGAAGCAAUCUUCAACAAUCCCCCGGAUAUUAAUACUCCUCCAAUAAGCAUACAUUUAUAAUGGCAUUUCUCCAAGCCGACUUGCUAAAUUGUUAUUGAUAAUAUUUUUCUAUUGACAAUAGGAAUACAAGUAAAACCUUCUUAUGGAAUAGAAUAGAUAUUUCUAAAUUUUCCAAUAUAAAAUUGUCAUUUUAUCGUCUUCCUCUCAGAUAAAUGCUGCUUUGAUCAAACAAAAACCUUCAUCUUUUCGUACACAUUUAACAAAAAUGAAAUGUUCAUAAAGUUACAUUAAUGAAUCUUAUGACAAUACUGUAUACUAAAAAGAAAAAGAUUCUAGUUUUUACGUAUACCACGUAAGCCGCUGUGUUACAACGAAUGCACGUGCAUCGGAUUAAAGACUUGUCGUUGAUUCUUCGCUAACCUGUCGCGGAGAAACCGGAAACGAGUUGAAUUCUUACGUGGAAACGCCUUGAUCCCGCAGGCCAAGCAGGUAGGACUGGUAAAACGGGUGGGGCUUCCGCUUUGAGAUCGUCGAUCAGGAUUGAUACAUCGAUCAUUCCUCAUACGUAUAAAAGAACCGUACAAGUAGUUGAACAAUCCUUAUCACGAGUAAUCUCAUUAAUCGCCAUAAAGAGCUUUGUAUUUUUUCAAAACAUGACGUUCCUACGACUGAUGUGAAUCGUAAAAAAACAUAAAAAAACUACGUAGGAAAUAAUUAAUAUACAAUAUAUUAGGUAUCGGUAAAUCCUGAGCAAUGUAUAUAUAUAUAUAUUAUAGUCUUUUAUUUGAUUUCAUUAACGAUUAUAUAAAUGCGUUCCUUGGACAAAGAUUUCGCUACUUUUGUAACCUUUUGCUCAUGAUACAUAGAUACGACGCGAGAUCACUGAAGAACUUUAACAUAAACCGCAACACAGGAGGAUGAGGCAAUGUUACCAAGUAUCGACGUUUCGGUGUAACGAUAUCUUCUUUGAAGGUUUUACGUGUCUACGACCUUCUAAGGGUGCGGUUGCGAUCGCGAGAUUCUAACGUUAUGACAUUCGAACGAACGAUGUCAAAUGAAUUUUAGUAUUUGACAAAAGAAAUCAAAUAUAAGUGCAUAUCGCGACAACAACGACUAUGAAACUAAUUUAGAUAGAAAAUAAAUAGAUUAUACUUGGACGAAUGUUGAAUUUUGAUUGAGAGUUGAACGCGCGUGAGUUAUAAGCAAACGCGAGUCCUAACAACUAUUUCCCACGAUUCAUGAUACGCGUCAAAAUAUUCAUCAUCGAGUAGGGAUAACGGUGCUGAGAUACUUUUCGUUCGAACAGCGACUUUAAAUCCCGAAGCAAGGUAGUAUCGGUAUUUCUUGCGGUUCUUUGUCCCGCAGGCCGUAUACCAACCUCACCUCACCUGUGCCAGGCCAGUUCGUCCAAGUAACUCGAUCACGCGUGGCAUACCGUGUAUGUGUGCGUGUGUGAGAGAGAGAGAGAGAGAGUGUGUGUGUGUGUAUGUGUAUGGGGUAUUCCUCCCUCCUCCAACUAUGGUAACAUCCUUCGAAGCGUCUCCAUCUUCGCACUCGCUUCAUCUAUUCUCACAGUACAAAGUUAUCGUUUUGCUUCCAUUUCUGUUUGUAUUCCUUUUACGAAGAAGAAACAUCGACCGAAUUAUUGCUAGUUGAGAUUAUAACAAAUGAUAGAGAAAAGAGGUGUUAAUGUUCCAACGUAUGUAUCUUGAUUCGAUUAUAGAAAAGAAAAAGCGAUAAAAGGAAAUAGCGUAGAAGGUAUGGUGAGACGAGGUGAGACGAGAAGGGAAAAAUGGCCGCACAGCAGGUCGGUCAUAGACUGCUUUUUCUAAAGAGUAUGAGAAGCUGGAAUAACCGACCCGAUGAACCGAGGUUCCGGAGGACAGAACGGUACACGAUGCCUUCCUCCUCUUUCUUCUCCAACCUUCACCGAGAGGCCACCGAAGAUGAGGGCCAGCAGGACCUCGGAGUUCCCACUCUUGGAAUUCCUAAGUACGCUUCUGAUGGACACGCGCUAGUAUACGUAUACGGUACUCGCGUCGUUUGUUACUUUGCCAAGGUACGCAAUGUAUGUAUGUUUUUAAGAAAAUAGUUAACGUCGUUGCACUCUUAUUCGCCUUAUUCUGAUCGCAACCACAUAUAAUUCUAUUUUCUACUAUUAAACAUUAUUUUCUUGCAAACAUUUAUCAUCGUUUGCGCAUCCUUUAGGCGUCUAUUAGGCAUCUAUUACGCGUCGUUUACGCCUCGUUUACGUAUUGAAUAUUUCAAACGAACGCGCUUGUUUCGAGUCAUCCUGGAGGCAGAGCUCUACGUUGUAAGUUAAAUCUCUAAUUGAAAUCAUUUCAACUUGCUUCGCAAUCUAGACGCGUUGAGAAAGUUUUGACUCUCGAGCGCAGCAACUCGGACGAAAAGUACUUGCUUGCAAUAAGCAAAAAGUAUCUGUCUUUUGCAACGAUUGUUUAUUCCACAUUUCCAAUUCUUAUGGUAUUCUUGCCAUGAGAGCACUUUAAUAGACGAUUAAAGGUCAACGACAAUUCCGAGAACACUCGACAAGUUUCAUCUCGAUGUUCUAAAAUGACCCCAAUGCUGCCUUAAUUUAGACAAUUUGUCGCGUGGUCCUAUCUCGACGAUUGCUAUUAUAUACGCUUCUUCAUCCACCUUCACAGACAUAUCCUCCUCACACUUUAUCCUACUUUUGAUCCUUAUCUCUUGCAAAGCUAUUACGAUUUUACGAUUUUACGAUUUUACGAUUUUACGAUUUUAGUGCUUUUCCUAAUUCUAUCGGUAAAAGGAAAACUUCUUUUCCCUGAGACAAUUCAUCCAAAAAAUCUCUUUGAUUUUCAAUUUGAAAAUUCGUCAACGAUACGAAAAAAUGAAACGCGUAACGCGCGAGUGUUCUCCUCUAUUUCCGUUGACGCUUACGUCGUAGCUCGUCGUAGCUCGUCGUAGCUCGUCGUAGCUCGUUGUAAUCAGCCAUAAAGACCCUCGAGUUCCUCCAAGACGAAGGCAAUUCCCCGAGAUGAAGCAGAAGAGAAACGAUGAAACGAAUGGAAGAAGAGGGCACUCCGUUAUCGUUCACCUCUCAUAACGGUUUCUUCGACGGAGGGCGCGAUCCCACAUCGCUUCGUGUCGUCGCUCAGUAAGAAUGGUCCGCCGUUUAUAUCUUUAAGUAUCUCCCUCUGUAUAUGCCCGUGUAUUGUAUCUAACCGAUACGUAUUCAACAUAUUUAUUACAUCAGCAGAUAAUCUACGCCCUGACGCAACUUAAACGAAAUAAAUAAAAAGCAUCUACAAUUUAUCUCUAAUAUUUUAUUUAUUUUCAAAUAUUUCAAAUCUUUCUAAUAUUGAGAGAUAAAGAGAGAAAGAGAGAGAGAGAGAAAGGGAAUAAAGUUACAAAGUGUAAAGGAAUACGAAUGUAUCAUUUCGUAGCUCGUCGUAAUAACACCUUUGUUUCCGGUAAUGGAACAAAACGCCAACUCCUUAAAUGCUUUUAUACCCUCGAUGUAACGGCUCCUCGUGACUUCUUUGGCUUCCGGUACAAGCGAGGGUCACCGAAGACCCGGAAGUUCGUUCGACUCAGCGCAUUAACUUUCCUCGGAGCCCCUCAGUAUUAUAUACCUUUCAAGCCAUUGGAUACUUUGCGAAUUGUAGCACGCGGAAGAAUAAGUGGAAAGGCAAUCUAUGAUACUACAAUCAUUUCAUCUUUUAUUUUUCCUUACAAACGGCAUUCUAAGACCAGCAAGAGAACAACGUUGCUCUAUAAUAAUUACUCGAAUAUUUAAUAUACAAUAUAUCUUCUAUUCUAUUUCUCCAAUAUAUAACAUUAAUAACUGACUUGAAGAAUCAAUGUACAUGUAUUAAGCUUAGAAUUCAAACUAGUAUGUGUUACAGUUCACCUACGUACAUUUAUAUAACGAAACCAAUCCAAAAGAGACAUACACGCGACACCUAUCCUUGCGAAUGUAAAAUUCGCUAUAUGAAGCGCCACAUGUAGGAAAGAUGUGGGAAGAUUCAACGACAGUAUUACAUUACCACAUUUACCCUACAAUUGGCCCUAACGCGCUUGACGCCGACUCAAUUAAGAGGACUCUUUCUCUCUCAUUCUCUCUUUACCAGUAGGAAUAAAUGGACGUAAAAA
rnacentral:lncRNA from 1 species